UUUCUGAAAAAUGUCAAUUAAAGAAAAGAUAUCUGUCAAUUUAUAAAUAUUAUACACUAUAUUUAUUUUUUUAAAUUUUUAGAAAAUUCAUUUACAUAAUGGGAUUUAGAUUUUCACAGACCUUUUGAAUAAAGAAUCCCUUUUAUGAUAAGAUAAUCCUACUCAAUUAACAAUAUAAAGAAACAUUUUUGGAUUUUAAAAAGAUAAAUAAAUAUAAUAAAGAAUGAAGCUAUUUUUAUUUAAUCUUAAUAUGUAUACUUAAUAAGUUAUCUGGGUUUUGAACCAUGGCAAUUAUUUUUGCUAAUAAUUUUUUAAAUAAUCAUUUUCAAUGGGGUAAAUAUUACCACAUUUUUGUGAGGCAAUCAGGUUGGACCCAUAAUUGAUUUCUAUUUAUGAUAAAUGAUUCUUUGAGGUAAGUGUAAAUUAUAUACAAAAUUAUAAGUGAGAGGUGAAAACCAUUGUGUGAUAAAAAAUUUGUUAAAAGAAUUGAUAAAUUUUUUAUUUCAUUAUUAGAUAAAUUUUAUAUAACAUCAAAUUUUCCAUAAUAUAUUUGGCCUUUUUUCUAAAUAUUUAUAGAAAUCUUGGGAGAAUGAACAGAUAAUCUAUUCCUCUCAUUUGAUUAUUGAUUUAAGAAAAGAUUUCAAUUAAAUGAAUUGACAAAGUGAUUCCAUAUACUGAAAUAUUGUUUAUUUUUGUUAACAAUAAAUUAAAUUUUUGGAUAUGGCUUGGGAAUAAUCUUUGAAACCUAUGAUGUGGUUUGGGUUUGGAUUUCCAUUAAACAUGAACUGGGCCUGAAAAUUAUUUUUACUUAUGACCUAGGCUGGAUGAAGAAAUCAAUGCCAGUGAAGGUCUCUAAUUUCAAUGAUUAAAAUAUAUCAUUUCUCAGACUUUAUUUGAAGAUAAAUGAAUGGGCAAAUCACAAAUAUGCCUGUUUUCAAUUAUUUGCAAAAUUUAUUAGGAUUGUUAAUUUAAAGAAACUAUGAUUUCAAAGCAUCAUACAUUUCUAAAAAUUGUUGGACACUAAGAAAUAAAGAAAUCAAUUGUGAAGUGUAUAAUGGAGGAAAUAUUGAUCCAUGAUUGUUUUGGCAUAAAUAACAAAAAAUAUUAUAUUUUUUGUGACCAUGCAUUAAGCUUACAUAUAAUAUAAUAGGAAUCUUUUAAGAAAACAUUAUCAAAAAUAUAAGUUAAUAGCUGAUAGUCCAUUAUGAAUGACUGGUAAUCAGAAUUUUCUUCUUUAUUCAAUGAUGGGUGCAUAAUAAAUUUCCUUUAUAUGAUGAUGAUUGAAUCAGUAAAUUUUUCAUUAUUUUUAUAAAAUAUGUUAAUAGAGUGUAUAUUUAUGAAUUUUAAUUUAAAAACAAUAAGGGUCUAGAAUAUAUUUUUUUGAUUAUAAAUUACAAAUACAAAUGAAUAAGAAUUUAUUUUAAAAGAUUUUAAUAUAUUUUUUAGAUUAAAAAUAUAAUACAAAUGAAUAAAAAUUUAUUGUGCACAUAUAUUAAAAUAUCUAAAUAUAUAUUUCUUUAAUAUAUUUUGUAAAACCACUGGAAAAUUUUAAAAUUACACCCUCAUUUAAACAAAUAUAAAUUUAAUUUCUGAAUCACACCUCAUAAGAUAGGAGAAUUUUAAGAUUCAGCCAUCCACCGUCAAAUAAAGGAUAAAAUUAUGAUUCUCCAUCAUUCUUGAUGGCCAUCAGUGAAUGCCAAGUAACAAAACAAUAUAUAAAGUCAAAUGUGACUAUAUUAAUUGUAAAACUUCUAAAAUAAGAAGUGACAAAAUAAAUAACCAUUAUAAACAUAAACAUCCUCAUGUCAAGUUAUCUGAUAUCAAAUUUACAAAGAUAGCUAUCAAAAAGGAUAAUAAUUGGGUAUCCUUAAAUAAAGAUAUUCCAUUCAAUAUCACAAAUGGGGUUGAAACCAAGUUACAAAAAAAAUCAAUAACAUCUUACUUCCAAAAACACAAAUCUUUUAUUGAAGAUUCCCAAAUUAUAUUAUCUCAUACAAUGCCCAGUUCCAGUGAUCUGCUGAUUUUGAAUAAUGAGCUCAAAUCUUUUACUGAAGAUUCCCAAAUUAUAUUAUCUCAUACAAUGCCCAGUUCCAGUGAUCUGGUGAUUUUGAAUGAUGAGGUACUUAAUUUAAAUAAGAUUUGUUUGAUAAUUCUGAAGUGAAUAAAUUAUGAAAUAUUUUCCACUUUUCUAUAUCUUAAUUAAGAAUAAAAUUUUUAUUAAAAUUAAGAUUUUCAUAAGUAAACAAAUUUUAACCACUCUUUAUUUAAUAAUUAGCAUGAAUCUUUUAUUGAAGAUUCCCAAAUUAUAUUAUCUUCUCAUACAAUGCCCAGUUCCAGUGAUCUGCUGAUUUUGAAUAAUGAGCACAAAUCUUUUACUGAAGAUUCCCAAAUUAUAUUAUCUCAUACAAUGCCCAGUUCCAGUGAUCUG